rnacentral:misc_RNA from 1 species
GAUGAAGAACGUAGCGAAAUGCGAUACUUGGUGUGAAUUGCAGAAUCCCGUGAACCAUCGAGUCUUUGAACGCAAGUUGCGCCCGAAGCCAUCAGGUUGAGGGCACGUCUGCCUGGGCGUCACAUAUCGUUGCCCAAUGCCUAUUGCAGUGCAAUAGGAAUUUCUAGGGCGAAUGAUGGCUUCCCGUGAGCGUUGUUGCCUCGCGGUUGGUUGAAAAUCGAGUCCUUGGUAGGGUGUGCCAUGGUAGAUGGUGGUCGAGUUAGAACGAUACCGAUCAUGUGCAUGCUCCCCAAAAUAUGGCCUCUAUGGCCCACACGCGUCUUUUGACGCUCAUGACGAGACCUCAGGUCAGGCGGGGCUACCCGCUGAAUUUAAGCAUAUCAAUAAGCGGAGGA